AACGCUCAUCUGGCUGUGGCAGCCUGUGACUGAAUGAGAGAAAAGUGCCCUAGAAGCUAUUCAUUACGAAUUCACUGGAAGCUCUCAAACGAGGCUGGCAGAAGCUGAAAUUGAAGUGGUCUCUGACCUAAUUUUCUUCUGCAUGAAACAUCUGCAUCAAGGCUCUCUUUGAUGUAUUCCACUUGGCUCUGUCUACAGGAUUGUAUCACAUGGCCUCGGUGUUGCCUUCUUAUUGAAAGACAUUUUCAGCCUGAGCAAGAUGGCCCGUUUGACACAAAUUAGAACAACCUUGAUAGCUGUCAACUAGAGACUAUCCGAGAACAAAAGGACAUUAUUGCGAGCCAGCACUGGAG
ensembl:lincRNA